rnacentral:lncRNA from 1 species
AACGCAGUCAUUCCAACCUGACACUGGGCCUAAUAUGGCGUAUCUGGAGUGGAUUUCCCUCUAGGAUCCAGGGCUCGACCGUGUCUCAUCAGGGGCAUCUUCUACAUCUUCCACAAUUGCACGGCAGUCUGAGAGAGAGAGAGAGAGAGUGGUAGCCGUCCUGCUGGGCGUCUUUCCAUUUAGUGUGCCCCGGCCCGUGCGGCCAUGGCGACGGAUCCAAACUCAAUUGAACCUCCUUGCUCUCCCUCCCAAUCAUCUCCACACUUCAGGUGCUUCUUUUCAUUUUUAGUUCUCUUUUUUUUUUUUUAUGUCAUAAUUAUCGUUUCCGUUACUUGUUCCCCCUCUCUAAUGGCAGCACUCUUUUCGAUUUGUUUAACAAUUGAGCUUCGAUAAUAACACAAAUCCGUGCUCCAUUGUAGUCACCGCUCCACUUCUAUGNN